rnacentral:rRNA from 1 species
GACGAACCGUGCGAACGUUGUUCGGAAUCACUGGGCUUAAAGGGCGCGUAGGCGGGCUGUCAAGUCUGGGGUGAAAUCCCGCGGCUCAACCGUGGAACUGCCUUAGAUACUGACGGCCUCGAGGAAGGUAGGGGCAUGCGGAACUGUAGGUGGAGCGGUGAAGUGCGUUGAUAUCUACAGGAACUCCGGUGGCGAAAGCGGCGUGCUGGACCUUUUCUGACGCUGAGGCGCGAAAGCUAGGGGAGCAAACGGG